UCCAACAGUCUCAUUUUUGGCUUGACUUGUAUGUAAUGCAAACAGUUUCCAAAGUAAAUUUUACAAAAUGAAGUAUUAGUCCAUUAGUGACAGGAUCCUUCAUCUUUGCAUUUGAGUAGAAGGAAAUUAUAUCCAAUAUCAUAAUAAGAUAUUAAAGCAUCACCUUUUGCUUCAGGCAACUAAGAAUAUGAUUAUCCUAUGUAGUUUGAUGGUCUCUGUCAUGGGAAUGAAAAAUAUUUUCAUGAGGUGACAGAAAGAUGACACUGUCCCCAUUAUUAUCUGUUGUGUUGGCUGGUGGAUAAGAAGACUUUCAAGAAGGGAGAAGAUAAAACUGUUUAUUAUGCACACAACAGGAUUAGGAGAAAGAAAACAGACAGAUUACUGCCCUCCAAUCUGGUUCCUACAACUGCAUUGAAAACUCAACAUCUUGGGAACCACAUCUUUAGACAGGAAUGUAUCAUCCUGUGUGUUGGCUCUCAGGGCAGUCCUUUCAGUUCUGUACCUUCUGCUCCUUCCACCUGCACUCUGCAGCAGUGUGGCUCAUUGUGCCUGAGGAGAGCUUGAACACAAACCCAGCCUGGCAGCCUCUGGAAGCUUUUGUUGUUUUGUUUUACUGAGGUGUAAUAAUCUGCUAUGGGCCUGAGUUUUAUUAUUUUAAGGACAGUCAAUCAUCAUCAAUGUUACUGUCUGAUAAUCCAGGGGAUACCUCACUCUGUGAAUGCCCAGAUAAAUCACACCUCUGGCCUACAGGUAAAAUUUUGAUUCAGUAGGCAUCAAAAUACAAAAGAAAGCUUCAAUUACAUCACAACCAAACUUCAAGCAUUGCUCAAUGUGUCUUAUACUUCCAUUUAUCUGUACACUGGAGCUCACCCCAAAUGCCCCAAGAUCUCAUCUGUGUCAAGAGGUCUCAUCUCUUCUGAGUCAGAAUUACCAUUUCUGUGUGAAUUAUGGCAUAUGCAGAGAACUUGGCCCAUAGAGGGAAAGGAUAAACAUUAACUGAAUUAGAACUACAGGGAGGCAGCACAGCAGAAUUUACUAAUUAGUUUGAGGUCUAGCUGGAGUACUUUGUUUCUGGAUAGCCAAUAUUUUGGAGAAAAAAUAUUAUUGUUCCUUGGAAAGUUUGUGGAAGAAAUAUGCCUAAUUGAAAGAAAGAACCUCAUUGAAAAUAUUUCAGCAGCAGUCCUCCAAAAUAAACACUGACCAGGACUCUGAGUAUCUUGCUUCCCAAGAGAACUGUUUGGCAGCCCAGGAACACAGUGCACAUAAAUGUAAGCACCUCUUGUUUACUGAGAGGCUUUGUCUUCUGUGGAACAGAAUGCACAGAUUUACAAAGAAUUACAAAUUUAUGAAAUAGCACAUAACGCAACAUCAACAACAAAAAAUCUGUUUACCUUUAUUUCCAGCAGAUGUGCUGCAGACACCCUGCAGAACCUGCACUGCUUCCAUGCCUGGCUGUGUGUUUUGGAGGCUCAUCCCAGAAGAUCUUAUAAACUCACUGUAGCUUUCUUUCCCCACCACUGAUCCAAGAGAAACAAAACCUAUUAUUCAGUGUGGAAACCUCCACACCAGACUGAAAUCCCACAUGCUUCCCUAUGCAUUUAUCUGCAUAUGAACCAUCUGGUGUCCAAUAAGACUUUCCUUGUCUCAGGCAUUAGGUUUGCUUAUCUGCAUUUCACCUGGGAGCUCAGGCUGUGAAAGGCAAUUUGUAGAGCUGAAAGCACCCAACUGUUUCCAAUGAUCCAGCUGUCCAUAAUGGAGCUGUCACCUGGAGAGUGCCUGCUCACGUGCACAGCACACCACACACCAUCCUCCUGGUGUGGUCUCACACUGACACAGCCUCUGUGACACCCAGGGCGUGGGGCUGGGCUGCAAAUGGCCCACACAGCCAAAAAGUGUUCUGUGCAGAAGCCUAGAUCCCAAGUCAAGCUCUGUAGAGUGAAAGAACAUCCUGCCUUGGUGAUGGAAAGGCACUUUGCUAUCCCCACUGGGACCCCUUCUUCUGCAACCAGUCCCAGUUCAGCUGAAGAACCCUUUAGCCCUGAGGGAAGUUAACAGCUCUGGACAUUCCCAAUCUCCUAGAAUAAGGAACCAUGUCACUCUUGCAUGGCAGAAGCAUGAGUGAAGCAUCCAUUUCUGGCUGACAAUGACAAGGCCACCUGCCUAGGGCACUGAUGGGAACCCUUUUCCCACCCAUCAUUCCUUGCAGUCUGGCAAAUGCAAGUUCAUUUCCUGCACUCCAGGUUCUUCUCCCUAGACUCAGUCCCCAUUCAGACUGAGGCAGACUUCUUUUAUGAUGCUGAGACUUUGUUAAACUCAAAUGGCUCCCAAAGCCAAGUCUUCAGGAACAUAUUAAAUGUCAUGAUACUUUCAUUUGGCCUUGAUAUCAUGAAGCUGUCACCAUAACAAGCCUUGGGUGUUGUCAGUCUCUGCCAUCAAGUUGUUAAGGGACAAGCAUCAGCAAGGGACACCAUGUGGGAGCCAUGGGCAGCCAGAGGUUAAUGCACUGUGGCUGCUUUCCCCAACACUUCCCUUCUUGAGGAGCAGUGGUAUUGUGGUGGAUUGAUAUUGGUGGUGGGUAAAUGUAAUAAAAUGUUUGUGCAGCAGGGCGUGAUUUCUCACCUUUAUUUCCUGAAAACUUGAUGGGAAAGUCUUUAUAAAUAAUUCUGGCUUUGUCAAUUGAAAAUAUGGAUUAAAAUUUACUAUAUAUGUUUUCAAA